rfam:Myotis brandtii contig319417, whole genome shotgun sequence.
GGUGGUUCUCGGGUGACACACCCCGGAAUCAGGCUCCCUCCUCUCUGGUUCAGGGUGUGUCACCCAAGAACCUCA